rnacentral:rRNA from 1 species
UACGUAGGGUGCAAGCGUUGUUCGGAAUCAUUGGGCGUAAAGCGUGUGUAGGUGGCUUGCUAAGUUGAUUGUGAAAUCCCUGGGCUCAACCGAGGAAGUGCAGUCAAAACUAGUAGGCUAGAGGAUGGCAGAGGAAGGUGGAAUUCCAAGUGUAGAGGUGAAAUUCGUAGAUAUUUGGAGGAAUACCGGCGGCGAAGGCGGCCUUCUGGACCAUUCCUGACACUGAGACACGAAAGCGUGGGUAGCAAACAGG